rnacentral:rRNA from 1 species
GACGAACGCUGGCGGCGUGCUUAACACAUGCAAGUCGAACGGUAAGGCUCCAGCUUGCUGGGGUACACGAGUGGCGAACGGGUGAGUAACACGUGGGUGACCUGCCCUGCACUUCGGGAUAAGCCUGGAAAACUGGGUCUAAUACCGGAUAGGACCGCACCGUGAGGGUGUGGUGGAAAGUUUUUUCGGUGUGGGAUGGGCCCGCGGCCUAUCAGCUUGUUGGUGGGGUAAUGGCCUACCAAGGCGGCGACGGGUAGCCGGCCUGAGAGGGUGGACGGCCACAUUGGGACUGAGACACGGCCCAGACUCCUACGGGAGGCAGCAGUGGGGAAUAUUGCACAAUGGGCGGAAGCCUGAUGCAGCGACGCCGCGUGGGGGAUGACGGCCUUCGGGUUGUAAACUCCUUUCACCAUCGACGAAGGGUUUCUGACGGUAGAUGGAGAAGAAGCACCGGCUAACUACGUGCCAGCAGCCGCGGUAAUACGUAGGGUGCGAGCGUUGUCCGGAAUUACUGGGCGUAAAGAGCUCGUAGGUGGUUUGUCGCGUCGUCUGCGAAAUUCCGGGGCUUAACUCCGGGCGCGCAGGCGAUACGGGCAUAACUUGAGUACUGUAGGGGAGACUGGAAUUCCUGGUGUAGCGGUGAAAUGCGCAGAUAUCAGGAGGAACACCGGUGGCGAAGGCGGGUCUCUGGGCAGUAACUGACGCUGAGGAGCGAAAGCAUGGGGAGCGAACAGGAUUAGAUACCCUGGUAGUCCAUGCCGUAAACGGUGGGCGCUAGGUGUGGGUUUCCUUCCACGGGAUCCGUGCCGUAGCUAACGCAUUAAGCGCCCCGCCUGGGGAGUACGGCCGCAAGGCUAAAACUCAAAGGAAUUGACGGGGGCCCGCACAAGCGGCGGAGCAUGUGGAUUAAUUCGAUGCAACGCGAAGAACCUUACCUGGGCUUGACAUAUACAGGAUCGCGCCAGAGAUGGUGUUUCCCUUGUGGCUUGUAUACAGGUGGUGCAUGGUUGUCGUCAGCUCGUGUCGUGAGAUGUUGGGUUAAGUCCCGCAACGAGCGCAACCCUUGUCUUAUGUUGCCAGCACGUUGUGGUGGGGACUCGUAAGAAACUGCCGGGGUUAACUCGGAGGAAGGUGGGGAUGACGUCAAAUCAUCAUGCCCCUUAUGUCCAGGGCUUCACACAUGCUACAAUGGUCGGUACAGUGGGUUGCCAGUCCGUGAGGGCGAGCUAAUCCCGCAAAGCCGGUCUCAGUUCGGAUCGGGGUCUGCAACUCGACCCCGUGAAGUCGGAGUCGCUAGUAAUCGCAGAUCAGCAACGCUGCGGUGAAUACGUUCCCGGGCCU